AUUGAACGCUGGCGGCAGGCCUAACACAUGCAAGUCGAGCGUGAAAGGGCUUCGGCCUGAGUAAAGCGGCGGACGGGUGAGUAACGCGUAGGAAUCUACCUGGUAGUGGGGGAUAACGUUCCGAAAGGGACGCUAAUACCGCAUACGUUCCGAGGAAGAAAGCGGGGGAUCGCAAGACCUCGCGCUAUCAGAUGAGCCUGCGUCCGAUUAGCUAGUUGGUGGGGUAAAGGCCUACCAAGGCGACGAUCGGUAACUGGUCUGAGAGGAUGAUCAGUCACACUGGAACUGAGACACGGUCCAGACUCCUACGGGAGGCAGCAGUGGGGAAUAUUGGACAAUGGGCGCAAGCCUGAUCCAGCCAUGCCGCGUGUGUGAAGAAGGCCUCGGUGUAAG
rnacentral:rRNA from 1 species